rnacentral:rRNA from 1 species
GUUGACCUCGGAUUCAGGUUAGGGAUACCCGCUUGAACUUAAGCAUAUCAAUAAGCGGAGGAAAAGAAACAACCGGGAUUGCCUCAGUAACGGCGAGUGAAGCGCAACAGCUCAAAUUUGAAAUCUGGCUCCCUCGGGUCCGAGUUGUAAUUUGUAGAGGGUGUUUCGGGGGCGUGCCGGUCUAAGUUCCUUGGAACAGGACGUCAUAGAGGGUGAGAAUCCCGUCUGCGACCUGGCCGCCAACCCCGGGUGAAACCCCUUCGACGAGUCGAGUUGUUUGGGAAUGCAGCUCAAAAUGGGUGGUAAAUUUCAUCUAAAGCUAAAUACGGGCCAGAGACCGAUAGCGCACAAGUAGAGUGAUCGAAAGAUGAAAAGCACUUUGGAAAGAGAGUUAAAAAGUACGUGAAAUUGUUGAAAGGGAAGCGCUUGCGACCAGACCUGCCGCCGGGUGAUCAUCCACUACUCGUAGCGGUGCACUCGCCCGGACGCAGGCCAGCAUCGGUUCAGGCGGCGGGAGAAAGGGUCCGGGAACGUAGCUUCCUCCGGGGAGCCUUAUAGCCCGGACUGCCAUGCCGCCCGCCCGGACCGAGGACCGCGCUUCGGCUAGAUGCUGGCGUAUGUCGUAAGCGACCGUUCUUGAAACCACGGACCCAGGAGUUCUACCAUCUAUGCGAGUGUUUGGGUUGUUAACCCGGGCGCGGACUGAAAGUGAACGGAGGUUGAGACCCGGCGACGGGUGCAUCAUCGACCGAUCCAAAUGUCUUCGGAUGGAUUUGAGUACGAGCAUGGCUGUGGGACCCGAAAGAUGAUGAACUAUGCCUGAAUAGGGUGAAGCCAGAGGAAACUCUGGUGGAGGCUCGCAGCGGUUCUGACGUGCAAAUCGAUCGUCGAAUUUGGGUAUAGGGGCGAAAGACUUAUCGAAUCAU